rnacentral:rRNA from 1 species
GCUGGCGGCGUGGCUAAAACAUGCAAGUCGAACGCGAAAGUUCCCUUCGGGGAGCGAGUAGAGUGGCGAAAGGGCGAGUAAUGCAUAGGUAACGUACCUCCUGCUCGGGGAUAGCCGCGGGAAACCGCGGGUAAUACCCGAUGAGACCACAGCGUCAUAGGACGCGGCGGUCAAAGGCGGGGAUCCCUUCGGGGACCUGUUGGCAGGUGAGCGGCCUAUGUCUCAUCAGCUAGUUGGUAGGGUAACGGCCUACCAAGGCGACGACGAGUACCGGGGCUGAGAGGUCGGCCCGGCGCAUUGGGACUGAGACACUGCCCAGACUCCUAUGGGAGGCUGCAGUAACGAAUAUUCGGCAAUGGGCGAAAGCCUGACCGAGCGACGCCGCGUGCAGGACGACGCUCUUCGGAGUGUAAACUGCUGUCAGGGACUACCAAGCAAGGACGGCGAAUACCCGUUUGCGCUGAGGAGUCCCAGAGGAAGUCACGGCUAACUUCGUGCCAGCAGCCGCGGUAAGACGAAGGUGGCAAGCGUUGUUCGGAAUCACUGGGCUUAAAGAGCAUGUAGGCGGACAAUCAAGCGUCUUGUGAAAUCCCUCGGCUCAACCGAGGAAUGGCUAGGCGAACUGAUUGGCUUGAGGCAGGUAGGGGCGCGUGGAACUCUUGGUGGAGCGGUGGAAUGCGUAGAUAUCAAGAGGAACGCCGGAGGCGAAAGCGAUGCGCUGGACCUGUCCUGACGCUCAGAUGCGAAAGCCAGGGGAGCGAACGGGAUUAGAUACCCCGGUAGUCCUGGCCCUAAACGAUGUCCACUAGAUUCCAGCUUCUCUGACGGAGUUGGGGUCGCAGCGAAAGCGUUAAGUGGACCGCCUGGGGAGUACGGUCGCAAGGCUAAAACUCAAAGGAAUUGACGGGGGCUCACACAAGCGGUGGAGCAUGUUGCUCAAUUCGAUGCAACGCGAAGAACCUUAUCCUGGGCUUGACAUGCACGGAUGCCUACUGGGAAACCAGGUCGGUUGCCCUUCGGGGUGAAACGUGCACAGGUGCUGCAUGGCUGUCGUCAGCUCGUGUCGUGAGAUGUCGGGUUAAGUCCCAUAACGAGCGAAACCCUUGUCGCUAGUUGCCAGCGAGUAAUGUCGGGGACUCUAGCGAGACUGCCGGUGUUAAACCGGAGGAAGGUGGGGAUGACGUCAAGUCCUCAUGGCCUUUAUGCCCAGGGCUGCAAACGUGCUACAAUGACCGGGACAAACCGACGCCAAACCGCGAGGUGGAGCAAAUCGGAAAAACCCGGCCCCAGUUCGGAUUGGAGUCUGCAACUCGACUCCAUGAAGUUGGAAUCGCUAGUAAUCGCGUAUCAGCUCGACGCGGUGAAUGUGUUCCUGAGCCUUGUACACACCGCCCGUCAAGUCAUGGAAGCCGGGAGCACCCGAAGUCGCCGCGUCACUGCGGCGCCGAAGGUGAGUUCGGUGACUGGGACUAAGUCGUAACAAGGUA